GAUGAAGAACGUAGCGAAAUGCGAUAAGUAAUGUGAAUUGCAGAAUUCAGUGAAUCAUCGAAUCUUUGAACGCACAUUGCGCCCGCCAGUAUUCUGGCGGGCAUGCCUGUUCGAGCGUCAUUACAACCCUCAGGCCCCCGGGCCUGGCGUUGGGGAUCGGCGGAAGCCCCCUGUGGGCACACGCCGUCCCUCAAAUACAGUGGCGGUCCCGCCGCAGCUUCCAUUGCGUAGUAGCUAACACCUCGCAACUGGAGAGCGGCGCGGCCAUGCCGUAAAACACCCAACUUCUGAAUGUUGACCUCGAAUCAGGUAGGAAUACCCGCUGAACUUAAGCAUAUCAAUAAGCGGAAGA
rnacentral:misc_RNA from 1 species